CGACGACCAGGUACUGCUGCCUGUGAAUGGGUGCCAUUCACUGGAGCACCUGUGUUCGGUUAUAAUAAUGGUGGCCACCCAAGGAAAGCAGUCAAGUUAAUUACUUAAAAGUGGUGGGUCGAUGUUUGGGGAUGUAUAAAAGGACCACACAUCAUCCAUUAGGGAAACGAAGAAUGGGGGUACAGUCUGCUACAGGUUAGUGUUAGGAUGAGGGCUAG